UUGGUCUUUUUAAUAUUUUACCGAAAGCUGCUGCAAGGAGUCCAACGUGGUGCAAGAACCGGUUCUUCUGUUUUACUACUGAUUCCUUUGACUCUCUCUCUUCUAUAUCCGAUGGUCAUAUUUCUUCUUUUUAAAAAUCUCCAUGUUUCUCAAUUUGUGUCUCUCUUUAUUUGGUUUUUUCUUGCACUACUUCUAAGAUUUGAUCCCUGCGUUUGGAGAUAAUUACUUCUCUUUCUUCGUGUGUUGCUUCUGGGUUUAAAUAAGUCUCAGGAAUCACCAAUUGCUUGCUAGGUUUUAAUUGGUUUUCUUUGGCAACUUUGCUUUCAGUUUGCCUGUUAUGUGUUUGUGAAAUUGCAUGUCACAAAGGGAAAAGAAAAGAGUAGUUCAAAGUUGAGAGAAUUGCAUGAAUACGAAAUUAUUAGUACAAAUUAGUGGAAAUUUGUGUGUUUAUUUACUUCUUUGAAGUUUUGAAUAUGUGUUUGUAAGAGGGGUUGAUUGUUGAAGAGAGAAGUAUCAUGUAUUCAUGCUUAAAUUUUGAUGCCCUUCUCCGAAUCUUGAGAAUCCAAAUUUUCCAAGGCAGAGAAGAUUAUUGUGAGACAAACUGAAAUAUUUUUUUGACUUAAUUCCUGGGUUGGCACUUGGAGGUCUGUGAAGGAGAAUGAGAAAGGAUUAAGUUUCUUAUUUUCUUUCUCACCCAUUUAUGUAAUUUCAAGUAUAUAGCUGUAUAAUUUAUUAUACGUGGCUUCUCCUAUUAUAGUCAGAUCUUUUUUUUUAUUCCUUACUUUUUUUCUGCAGGUUGAGCUUUUUGUUUGAAUCGCUUCUAUCUUCUAUACUAAUUCUACGCUCUGUUGUUGGUUUGUUCUGCCAUCUUCUCAUUUUGUUCUCCUCAUCUUGUUGUUUUAAGCUUCAGCUUCGGUUGUUGAAUCUCGUGCAAGUUAGGUUCUGGUUGUAUUGGCUGCAAGCGGAACGUAGGCGCUUUAGGUGUGUGUUGACCAUGCACUCUCGCUUCGUGUAAUGUCAGGGGAGGUAUGAAAUGGUUAUCUCGGCCGGGAAUCAAGCCCCAACACAAAGAGCUGUGGGCCAGGUUGCUUUGCUUUAUCGUAUCAAUCAGUAUUGUGGAUUUUCGCCUGCUCAUUCGGCUUGGGGAUCUGAGUUGUUCAGUCCUUUGAGUUGCUUUCUAGCUCCAUUAGAUACGAAUGUGCUUAUUAAAUAACUGACUCAACUGCAACACCCCGAUGGAAUAUUUUUUGGGAACAUGUAAAGACAUCAGAAUUUACAUAUUUUGCAGUGGAACUCAUUCUUACUUUUACAGAAUACAAUUGAAAAAUUAAAUGGUUAUCUUCGUACUAAAUUGUAGUAUAUUACUACUGCUUCUGCCGCCAUAUUUUUGUUUCAGGUUUCACUCCGUGUUUAGGUAAGUGCACAUUCUUGUGUGUGUUCAGACUUUCGAACUCUGGUGAGUAUCGCUCUUCCGUUGGCUUUUACUUUGUCCACUUCGUUUCCAUUGGUUAGUUUCUUUGCAUUGAGAUAUCGACUUUCCACAAUGUAGACAAAAAGAAGGCCCUUUUAGUUCUACAACGACCAUACAGAGCUGAAUUAAAUUGAAUUGGAAAAAUGUUGUUUGCUUGACAAUUUAGCUAUUCGUGACUCAGCUAAUGCAUCAUCUUCUUGGUCUAGCAGUAUUUUUACGAAGCAGGAUUCUCCUGUUAUAAGAGGGCUCAUUGCUUUGUUGUGAAACAGGUUAGGUAAUUUUGUUGUCGCAUAUAAAUAGUAUAGAAUUACAUUACUUGGAACAAAAUAAUGAAAAAUAAAAAAGUGGCUGAAAGCUUUUUAAGCAUUAUUGUAUCAAACAGGAGUUGAAAAUGAACUUUAGUUAAUUGUGUCCUGAAGCUUUACCCUGAUUUGAAUGUCGCCUUUAACCCCUCUUUCUUAAAUAUUGAGUUUUUUUUCCUAAAAAGAGGUCAUGUGAUUUUUCUUACAUUUUACUACUGAUGAGAAAUUUGAGAAAUAGAAGUAGCUAUAAGUUUAUGUUAGUUGACCUUUUUCUUGCACUUGUACUGUUAUAGAUAUAUGCUCAUGUAUCCUCAUUCUAAAUGUCUUAAAUGUUGAGUGGCUUCAUAUACUUCAUCCUUAUUAUAGGAUUCGUCUGAAGUUGUGAGAUUAACUCUUUGAUAGGAAAGAUCUAUUAUCUAGCAAUGGCUAUAUGUUUAUAUCAUAUAUAAUAUGAUACGACAGAAAAUUAGGAAAUUUCAGAUUAAUUAUUUUGCUUAUAUGCUUUGUGGACAUAACCUUGAAGCCUAUUAUUUUUACUUGCAUAUUUUACAUUUUUACGUACGCACAAACAAGCUUUGAGUCUUAUGGGACAUCUAUUGGAAACAAAAGGAAAAUUGAGGAUGGUUCUAAGGAAGAGCUCUUUCCCAGAACAAGAAAGAGAGGAAGAAAGUGACAGAAGUGGGUAUAUUGAAGAAGGAUCCUGACCAACUAAAAUAUCAGAUUCAGAAACUAGAAGUGAUGAGUAAGUUGUUCCACAUAUAAUUCUUUUCUUUGGAUAAGUUGCUGCAUUUAAACUCUGUGAUACUUCUUAUAUAAUUGAAUAAAAUGCUCUAUUUUUAGAUCAUUUGUAAUUGAAUAAAAUGCUCUUGUGCUUAACAUUUCGUUGAUCUCUGGAGAUUGUUUUGAGUGACAUUGAAGAAAGACUGAGAAUUAUAAAGUAAUGCCUAUUCAUCACGUUCAGUAAAGUAAAAGCAAUAAGUAGAGGAAGGGCAGAAGUAGGAAAUAAUCUGAAGUGGAUUAAUUAAAGCUCGAAGAAUUACUUUAGAAAAAUUCAUGAGUAAACUGAAGAGUGGCUACUACCAGUAAAUCAGUAAUAUAACAAUGGACCUGUGGUCAUCUUGAGUUAAUUGGUUUAAAUUUUCACAUAGCUUUUAGCUGUCUCAUAGUUUUUUAGUUGUGUUUUGUUAAUUAAACUGUAAACUUUAAAACUUUAUACCAGAUGGGAGUGGUGUAGUGCAGGCUAUUUCUGGAGAACAUUAUUUCUGAUAUUUUGCUCUGUUCCUUUCUUUAACAUAUUUACUUUGUUGGUCCACUUCUCCUUUAUAUGUCGUUUGUUGCUUAAAGAAAGAAACAAUACAUACUUCUAUGAACCUCGAUGCUAAUUCAUAGGCACAACUGUGUUAUUGUUUCCUCUUAAGACUAGAAAAGGAACUUGAUUGGUUAGAUUUCUCCAAGAGCAUUGUAGAAGCUGUAUCACAAGAUGAAUGACAUUCUUUUGAAAAAGAGUGACCAGCUUCUUUUUGAGAAAGCACCAACAUUUUAUCUGUUCAACUAAGCAUGUAGAAACAAAUUCCAAUUUAAGUGACUUUUCUAUGGAAGUAAAAGCUCAUGGAAAGAUUAAACUAGAUAGCUAUACGAUGUGAGUAGAGUGAGUUACUUUAUGUUACAGUGAGGCUAUACUGUUAAGAACAAUAGAUUCUUAUGAGAGUUUAGAGAUUGCUGGAUGAGUUUAGAUGAUUAAUUUAUAACGUGGAAAGGCAAGGGAUCUACUAUUAGGUGCCUAUCAAAUUAGAGUUAGCAGCUCUUUUAAAAACAAAGGUAACAAUUUGUGCUCCUCUAAAUAAUGAAUGAGCUAUUUUUUCUCUCCCAAUAAAAUAUGAAUGAGCUAAUAACCUAUUUUCCAUAGCUUGAAUCAGAUCUAACAGUUCCUUAGACAGUUCAUUGCAAAAGGGAUUGUGUGAUUCUUUAUGUACUGAUUAACACAAAGAGGGCUGCUUACUAAAUACUUGAUUGCAUUGUAAAAGCACUUGAUUGUUUGAUUCUUUAUGUACUGCUUACUAAACAUUUUAUGUACUCAUUAUGACUUAAUUUACUCUUUCAUACAUCAGCUAACUGUAGUAACCGGUCACCUAAUAUUGUCAUCCAAGUCUUUAAGUGCUUUAGCUGUUCUAUGAUGCAUAUGUUACUUCAUAUUAGAGGAUUUAUAUCUCAGUAACCGCAUAAAGUGCAAUACUUGCAAUAGUACUGGUACUGGAGAGGCAUUUGCUUCUUCGUAACAGUUUCUUUCAGGUUAUACUAGGUUUUCUUUGAUUCUCAACAAAGCUUAAUACUUUCGAGGUUGCUCAGUUUAUAGUGAUACUGAAGGCAUAAUCCAGCAAACUGCAGGGAUCAUAUUUGGUAGAGUCAAGGUGCCGUGAAAGCUUACUUAGAAUUGAGCAUGAGAUAUACCAUAUCACAUUAUGCUUCACAUGUAACUUUAAGUGUUACCGUGUGGCAUCUUUAAGAAUAUAAUAUAGAAUACUCCUAUUUAUUGUC